ensembl:misc_RNA Metazoa_SRP Metazoan signal recognition particle RNA
GCUGGGUGUGGUGGCUCACACCUGUAAUCCCAGCACUUUGGGAGGCUGAGGCAGGAGGAUCGCUUGAGCCCAGGAGUUUAAGGCCAGCCCUGGGCAACAUAGAGACACCCUGUCUCUA